UACGGGGGGGGGCAAGCGUUGUUCGGAAUUACUGGGCGUAAAGGGCUCGUAGGCGGCCAACUAAGUCAGACGUGAAAUCCCUAGGCUCAACCUAGGAACUGCGUCUGAUACUGGAUGGCUUGAAUCCGGGAGAGGGAUGCAGAAUUCCAGGUGUAGCGGUGAAAUGCGUAGAUAUCUGGAGGAAUACCGGUGGCGAAGGCGGCAUCCUGGACCGGCAUUGACGCUGAGGAGCGAAAGCGUGGGGAGCGAACAGG
rnacentral:rRNA from 1 species